rnacentral:rRNA from 1 species
UACGGAGGGUGCAAGCGUUUGUCCGGAUUUAUUGGGUUUAAAGGGUGCGUAGGCGGCUUAUUAAGUCAGUGGUGAAAGCCUGUAGCUUAACUACAGAACUGCCAUUGAUACUGAUGAGCUUGAAUAUACUUGAGGUUGGCGGAAUGUGUCAUGUAGCGGUGAAAUGCUUAGAUAUGACACAGAACACCGAUUGCGAAGGCAGCUAGCUAAAGUACAAUUGACGCUGAUGCACGAAAAGCGUGGGG